GAUGAAUGCUGGCGGCGUGCCUAAUACAUGCCAGUCGAGCGAACAGACGAGGAGCUUGCUCCUCUGACGUUAGCGGCGGACGGGUGAGUAACACGUGGAUAACCUACCUAUAAGACUGGGAUAACUUCGGGAAACCGGAGCUAAUACCGGAUAAUAUAUUGAACCGCAUGGUUCAAUAGUGAAAGACGGUUUUGCUGUCACUUAUAGAUGGAUCCGCGCCGCAUUAGCUAGUUGGUAAGGUAACGGCUUACCAAGGCGACGAUGCGUAGCCGACCUGAGAGGGUGAUCGGCCACACUGGAACUGAGACACGGUCCAGACUCCUACGGGAGGCAGCAGUAGGGAAUCUUCCGCAAUGGGCGAAAGCCUGACGGAGCAACGCCGCGUGAGUGAUGAAGGUCUUCGGAUCGUAAAACUCUGUUAUUAGGGAAGAACAAAUGUGUAAGUAACUAUGCACGUCUUGACGGUACCUAAUCAGAAAGCCACGGCUAACUACGUG
rnacentral:rRNA from 1 species